ACACACCGCCCGUCACACCAUGAGAGUUGGGAAUACCCGAAGCCUGUGAGCUAACUUUUAGAGGCAGCAGUCGAAGGUAGAAUCAAUGAUUGGGGUGAAGUCGUAACAAGGUAUC
rnacentral:rRNA from 1 species